GCAGGGCGGGGAGAGGGCAGGGGAGAGGGCAGGGGAGGCGGGACGGAGCGCGUCCCUCCCGAGGAGCGUGGGUGGGGGACACCCUCGCUGGAGCGGCUGCGGGGCUCUACGUGAAGCCCCGCCCGUACACCCAGAAGUGUCAGGGCUGUGCCUCCAGGGCGCUGAGCCCUGAGCUUUGCAGAAAUGCACCCCCACGCCCAGCCCUCGUUCCCUUCUUCUCUCCGAAGUCUGGCGGUAGGUACGGCUUGACCCAGCCCAGGGAAAGCAGCUCCUCUCCCACGUGCGCGUCGCUCUGUCCUCCGCGCGCGGAGUCCCAGCACCUCCUUCCCCCGUUACAGGUUACAGGGGAUGGCCGGGAGAGAGACUCUCCCACUCCCCCUACCCCAUAAACCCUGAUUUAAGGACCCAACUGUUUGCCCUUUGCAAGUGAUGUUGUAAAUAAAAUAACCCGCUUUGGAGAGUCCGUGGCUAGCCACGCUCCCCUGCUCCCCUACCCCCGACUGCCCUGCAGCCCGAUGGUUGAAGAGAAGAUUCUGUUUUGAGAGCAGAGAGCUGAAACUUAUAUAUACUGAGAACGUGCUCUGAACCAGACGCUGUACUAGGUCGCUGCACUUACGGUUGAAUAUUCACAACAGGGGAAAUUAUUUGCCCCGGUUCAGACCCAGGCACACCUGGCUCAUGGGGUCACAAAGGAAAUGUGUGGAUGCAGAGAUUAGGCGCUGCCUGGGUCUAACCGCCCCCCUACCCCCACCCCGCCCCUGCUCCACUCCUCCAAGAGAGCCAGCAGAUGCAAAGGCCCUGUGUGAUGUGGCAUCCGAUGGAUGGCGCUGGAAACCAGAGAGGGGAUGCGGGGAGAUCAAGGCAGGAAGAGUGGAGCUGACCCAGCCGGGGAUUGCUGGAGGUGGUCUUCCAGCCUGGUUGUCUCAACCAUUACCCCACACCUUCUGGCCUGUAAGCAACAGGAAGGCGGAGACCACAUUUGUAUUAUUGGCUCUACCUAGUGCCUCGUUUGUGUCUGCUCGAUUGUUGAAUCUCCUGGCUACCAAGUCAUUCCAGUAGCAUCCCCAUUUCACAACGGGGAAAUUGACACUCAGAGAGGUCAAAUGGCUUGCCCAGGGUCACAUGCCCCAAGGAGUUGGGCGAUUGGACAAGCCUCCUCCCGUGGGAUUCACCUUAGACCUCUCCAGUCGGUCCAACUGGCAGAGAGCGCUUGUGGGGACAGGGGACUCUGGUGAACCCUGAUUCAGGUGGCCAGGUACUGGGCUUUCCAGGUGGCCUUCACAAAGAGGGUGUGGCUCUUUUUUUUUUUUCCCCCCCUUAAUUCAAACUCUUGUGUCUUUCAAACUCUUGUGUCUGACUUGCGAUAGAUCUCUUCCAGGGAGCUGAAGAGGGCGUGACUCUUGCCUCAGGUUUUGGUGUCACAGCCAGAGAGGCCAGGAAUCCAGGACCAGGGACUCCAGCUCCACAAUAGACCUGGUGGGGGGAGGGGCCAGGGCUAGAGGGAGGAGCCGAUCCUACACUCCACCUUCGGGAAGGAGGAUUUUGUGCUGGGCACAUAAUCAAUCCCCACAACAACCCUGGCAAGAUGGGUUUUUAAUAUUCUCCGUAAUACAAGUGAAAAAGCAGAAGCUUGGGGACAUUAAGAAAGCGCCUUGCCCAAGGACGCUGUGUGGCAAGUGGCGGUCAGCCCAGAUGUUCAGGUCUGCAAGUCUCUGUAGAAGGCAGAGGGCGUUCAGUGACCUGGCGCCUGACGCAGGUGGGCUUGGCGCAAGAGGCCCCCGGGAGCGCCCCCUUCAGGCAGUUCUGAGAGUUCUGUUGUGGGUCCCUUGGGUCUAAGGCGUUGUGCUUGGGGGGCUUAGGGACCAGAGCUGAAUACACCCUCUUUCAGGUCUCUUGUCUUCUUCCUAGCCAGCAAUCACUAGCAUUGAUGGAGCGCUCGCUGUGCGCCAAGCGGUGUUCUAGAAGCCUCAGCUCUCUUCCUGCUCGCAUCAACCUAGCACCUGUUAGCCCGGCCAUUUUACAGACGGAGACAACAGACGGAGACAAAUGAGGCACAGAGUGAGAGCGGAGGGCAGGGCAGAGAGAGAGAGAGUGAGAACGGGGCUCCGUCUCAUGAACAGUGAGAUCACGACCUAAACUGAAAUCGAGUCCAAUGCUCAACCAACUGAGCCACCCAGGCGCUCCCCGUGGGUGCUUGCAUUCAUUCCGCGAGUAUUAACUGUACCAGGCACUGGGAGAUCAGACACUGAGGAGACAUGGACCCUGCCCUCAAGGAGCUUACAGUCGAGAGAGGAGACGGAGACCAGCCAACAGGCCUUCCCGAAAGAGUGGCGGAGAACAGAUCCGUUCUACCUGUGACCACCAGGGCGAUUCUGUCGCGGACUUCAGCAGGUGAAGCAGCUGGGGCCUGAGGUGCCUCCAGGAGAAGGAGGAGACUCAUAAUCCAGGGCUCAGUUCCCCCAGGGGUGCCCCCUUCUGACCACUCUCCUUCCCUGUCCCACCCCAACUCCUGCCCUUGCUGUGGCUGCUGGCUUCCCCUCCUGUCUUUCCCCACGUCCCCCUCCCCAAGCAGCCUGGGGACACUCCAGAGCAACCUUCUCCCCACCCCAGGCAGUCCCUCUCCCACAACAGACUCA